rnacentral:rRNA from 1 species
AUUGAACGCUGGCGGCGUGCCUAAUACAUGCAAGUAGGACGCAGUUGCGAACGGGUGAGUAACGCGUAGGUAACUACCUAUUAGAGGGGGAUAACUAUUGUAAACGAUAGCUAAUACCGCAUACUCGUAGAUGGACCUGCGUGGUAUUAGCUAGUAGGUAGGGUAAUGGCCUACCUAGGCAACGAUACAUAGCCGACCUGGGAGGGUGAUCGGGCAAACUGGGACUGGGGCACGGCCCAGACUCCUACGGGAGGCAGCAGUAGGGGAUCUUCGGCAAUUGGGGGAAACCUGACCGGGCAACGCCGCGUGAGUGAAGAAAGUUUUCGGAUCGUAAAGCUCUGUUGUUAAGGAAGCGGUACUUAACCAGAAAGGGACGGCUAACUACGUGCCAGCAGCCGCGGUAAUUC